rnacentral:misc_RNA from 1 species
CACAUGCAUGGCUUAAUCUUUGAGACAAGCAUAUGACUACUGGCAGGAUCAACCAGGUAGCAUUCCUUCUCGACUUCGGUCCCGCAUCGAUGCCGCGGGCCUGGACGGCCUGCGGUCAAUGGGGUACCAAGAGUCGUUCUUAUCGAGGGACUCGAUUGGAGCAACAGGAGGCCGAGACCCCCCCACGUCCGCUUAAUUUUCCACAUCCGGGAGCACGAGCAGUUGUCCUGCGGACCGAGACAGCCACAACAAGAGUCAGUGGACAUGUCCGGGACACGGGGACUGCUUUCGAGGUCCGCAUUGCAGCCGCAAAGCCACAAGGAGGACAGGUGCGGGGCUGCCUGACGAAUUUUUCCAUACGAUGGGAAGGCAACACAGGAACCA